UGUCUUGUAUGCGCGGGGGCGAGCGACUAUCUAGGGAAGGCCGGUUUUCCGGCUAUGUCGGUAGAGUAUCGCGUGGAAUAGGCAUUUCGGACCCGGGGGGCAGUACCCCGGCGCCUCCACCACCAGGGCGUGAGAUUUGCGCGCAUUGCUGAUGGGGGCGAAACAGGAUCGACGAGUGCAAUAAAGACGCGGUUGCCGAUCGGUAUGGAUGCCACCGCAACGGCGCAUUUUGACAAGUGCCAACGAUAACGAGGCGCUCGCUAUUGCUGCGUAACAAGUAACCUCACGGUGAACGUUACAAAGUCAUAAGCGCGGUCGGACCCCACCGGGCAACAGAAGGGGAUUCCAGCGGCACGGAGGGCGCCGGGCAACAGAAGCCCUCCACU
rnacentral:tmRNA from 1 species